GUCGUGGAUGAGAUGAUGGGAUCUUUUUGAUUAUAUCAAAGUGCAGCACUUAGAGGAAAAAGAGAGGAAGAAAAGAAACGUUUUAUUGAAUAUUAAUCCAAAAAUAAGAGGGAGUUGGGUCCUACAAUUCCGCCAUGGGAGAGCUGAGUUGAAACAAGCGAAAGCAUGACGAAACUCAUAGGCAUAUAUAGAGUCAUAAUAUUGAUAACAGAUAAGGGCAUGCAAAUUUGGGUUAUUGAGAAGGACACGUGGAGGAAAAAGGAUAGGAUCCACGUGUGUUUUUCGUGACCCUACGAUAUGAUUUCAUGGCUUGUUAACAUCAAACUUCUUACCUAUGAUUUGUUUACAUACAAUAUAAUUAAAUAAUUAAAAUAAAUUUCUUAUCGACUAAAUUUUUAGAUGAAAUAAUGAACCUACGAUAUGAUUUCAUGGCUUGUUAACAUCAAAC
rnacentral:lncRNA from 1 species